CUCUGAUGUUAGCGGCGGACGGGUGAGUAACACGUGGAUAACCUACCUAUAAGACUGGGAUAACUUCGGGAAACCGGAGCUAAUACCGGAUAAUAUUUUGAACCGCAUGGUUCAAAAGUGAAAGACGGUCUUGCUGUCACUUAUAGAUGGAUCCGCGCUGCAUUAGCUAGUUGGUAAGGUAACGGCUUACCAAGGCAACGAUGCAUAGCCGACCUGAGAGGGUGAUCGGCCACACUGGAACUGAGACACGGUCCAGACUCCUACGGGAGGCAGCAGUAGGGAAUCUUCCGCAAUGGGCGAAAGCCUGACGGAGCAACGCCGCGUGAGUGAUGAAGGUCUUCGGAUCGUAAAACUCUGUUAUUAGGGAAGAACAUAUGUGUAAGUAACUGUGCACAUCUUGACGGUACCUAAUCAGAAAGCCACGGCUAACUACGUGCCAGCAGCCGCGGUAAUACGUAGGUGGCAAGCGUUAUCCGGAAUUAUUGGGCGUAAAGCGCGCGUAGGCGGUUUUUUAAGUCUGAUGUGAAAGCCCACGGCUCAACCGUGGAGGGUCAUUGGAAACUGGAAAACUUGAGUGCAGAAGAGGAAAGUGGAAUUCCAUGUGUAGCGGUGAAAUGCGCAGAGAUAUGGAGGAACACCAGUGGCGAAGGCGACUUUCUGGUCUGUAACUGACGCUGAUGUGCGAAAGCGUGGGGAUCAAACAGGAUUAGAUACCCUGGUAGUCCACGCCGUAAACGAUGAGUGCUAAGUGUUAGGGGGUUUCCGCCCCUUAGUGCUGCAGCUAACGCAUUAAGCACUCCGCCUGGGGAGUACGACCGCAAGGUUGAAACUCAAAGGAAUUGACGGGGACCCGCACAAGCGGUGGAGCAUGUGGUUUAAUUCGAAGCAACGCGAAGAACCUUACCAAAUCUUGACAUCCUUUGACAACUCUAGAGAUAGAGCCUUCCCCUUCGGGGGACAAAGUGACAGGUGGUGCAUGGUUGUCGUCAGCUCGUGUCGUGAGAUGUUGGGUUAAGUCCCGCAACGAGCGCAACCCUUAAGCUUAGUUGCCAUCAUUAAGUUGGGCACUCUAAGUUGACUGCCGGUGACAAACCGGAGGAAGGUGGGGAUGACGUCAAAUCAUCAUGCCCCUUAUGAUUUGGGCUACACACGUGCUAC
rnacentral:rRNA from 1 species